UGGUUAAGGUCAUAUGUUGAGUGUUUCCCACCCAGGCAGGCAGACAAGAGGUUAAGUGACAUGACCCCACAGAAAAUGAUCAAAACUGAGGAGGCCCUUUGGAUUAGACGUGAAAAAAUAAAAAUAAAUAUAAUAAAAAGGAGGUCAGGUUGCCAUCUAUACUUAAGCUUUUAGGACUUGUGAUGAAUGCAGUUAUUAGAGUCAUAUUUAAUCAUGAUUUGCAAACCACAAACAGAAACAGACUGACACAUGAAGAUAUAUAUACAGAGACUGGGAGAGGAAUGAAAAACUGUCCAAAAAUGUAUUCCAACUCCCUCUGCACUGCAUCCCAGUCAUGCUCAUAACUUAUACGGUUAUGAAGUCACAUUUAAGUGGUUUUCCAGAAUGGAAAAUAUCAAGUGAAAUUACCAGCUACUUAGAAAAAGGCCAUUCAUUGGCAGCUCAGAAGGCCAAGACACAUUCAGAGAGCUUUCUCUAGUUUCAUUGCCAGUCUGGCAGCCACUCACGCUCACAGACAAGCACACACCACUUACAUAAGUACUCAGAACUACUGAGUCAAAUGAAAUCUGAAAAUUUUAUACUGCAUUUCUGCAUUGUGGCCUAGUCAGUUUUAUCCAGAUUAAGAGAUUAACAGGACCAUUGCUUGUUUGUUUUUCCUUUUUCACCUGUCUUUACUUUUUAUUUGCAUCAAUUUACCCUUCAUUUAUAUACUGUAUGCCUUGUAUGUCUUUAAGAAAUUGUUCAAGCUGACAGUCCAAUAUUUAUGUGGAGGUGACUCUCUAUCUGUCAUACAUUAAUAGAGCUAAUUUCACACUUCAAAGCUUAAGAUUACAGUGCAUCUCUCGCUCUCCAGGACUGUGAUAAAAAUAUAAGAACGUGGGUUGGUUCAAUUUAAGAAGUGUUCAGAUCUGCUUGCAUGUAAACACACAUUGUCUUUCUUUGUCUCACACUAAUUUCUGUCUUGCUGUGCGUAUUAAUGACCUGUUUUUGUUCGCAGGCUUCCGUCUCUCAUCGGAUUAGCAUAGAAGAUAUCUCUCUUAUAUCAAAGCUCUGGAACAUCUGGGCAAAAACAUUACAAGUGUAGAUUAAUGCAAACAAGUCUGUGUAAAACUCUUUUAUUUUCAUCCAUGAUAAGCAUGCUGUUUGGGAUCAUCAUGUUUCCAUCUCAAGCACUGUCCUUCAAGUUAAUAAGUUUAGUUUGAUACAACAAAUGUCUUCUGAUCCUGUCCGCAUGUGUGAUGAUGGGAAUGUCUGUUGUGUUAAUGAAACCUUCAUAAUCUCUCAUUGAAUAAGGUGCCACUAAUUUUAAAAUGCCUGCUUUUUUCACUCAAAGGAACACAACUCCCUCAAUGUCUUUACUUGAAAUGGAAUUCCAGUUUACCCCACUUUCUUACUUCAUGUUUAAGUUCUCCAAUUAAAAUAAACAGCAAUAAAGUUUAUAUUGA